AUGGGCCUCCGCUCCGAUCUGAGCCGCCUCAAGACGGCGCGCCUCGUGGUCCUACACAGCGGCGGCCUCGGCGACUCCGUGUGCCCUCAGCUGGAGCACGUCGAGUUCACCAGCUGCGCCAUUGGUUUUGUGGAGGUGGUGACCAGUCCCACGCUGAAGAAGCUCGUCAUGGACCGUUGCUGGAGGAGAGGGGACAUGAAGCAACGUGCUACCCCGCUCGUCGACGCUCCUGCCCUUACUUCUCUACGUCUGGUCCUCGAGUUCCAGGGCAUAUGGGUGUUCCGGACGCCGUCGCUCGUCGAGGCAUCGGUCCGUUCCACGAGACGGUGGGUCGACAGGUUCGACGAAUACCAGCUUCUCUGCAACCUCUAUAACGUGACAAGAUUAGAGCUCUCCGGCUUCCUGGCGCUAGAGAAGAUUAGGAUGAAGCGAGGACAUCAAGAUUUGCCAACAUUUCGUAACCUGACUACAUUGCUCUUGGACGAGUGCGACUUGACCGGUGAAGUUUACAACAUGCUAGAGUUGUUUCUUAACAAUGCUCCCAACCUGGAGAAACUUACUCUGCAGAAUUGCAAGCUUCCGCAAGAUUGGACCGGGUCGAAGAAGAUGUGUCUGAACCUCAAGUUUAGGGAGAUCAACUGUCAUAAGGAGGGCGAUCUUCAACAGGUGGAUCAUUGA
rnacentral:rRNA from 1 species